UAGUUUGGAUUUUAAAGUAGAGAUAGAUGGGAAGGUAAUUAUUUCAAGCCUGUCAAAGUCAUUUGGAACAGUGACCCAAGUACAUCAGUUCCAGGAAAGCAUGUGAUGACUGGCAAGUUCGGCAGCAAAAAAUCAGAAUGGUGUGUUGCUUCCCUGGUGCCAGGAUCAAGGAUAUCUGGGAGAGGGACUAGCAGGAGAUGUGUCAGAUUCCCAAAACAUUGCUUGAAUACAGUUAAGGUGCCAGCCUCCGUAACCUGCACGGUACAGAAUUCCAUGGAUUCACUACCAUCAGAAGAAAUUCCUCCUCAUCUCUGUAUUAAAAUGGCCAACCCAUUACUGAGAACAUGCUUUCUUGUCCUAAAUUCUCCCAGAAGGAGAAAAAAUCUUUCUGCAUCAACCCUGUCAAGUUCCCUAAAAAUCUUGUACAUUUCUAGAAGAUUGCCUCUCAUUUUUUUAAACUCCAAUGACCACAGGCACUGCCUACUCGAUCUCUCCUUA